UACGUAGGGUGCGAGCGUUGUCCGGAAUUAUUGGGCGUAAAGGGCUCGUAGGCGGUCUGUCGCGUCGGGAGUGAAAACUCAGGGCUUAACCCUGAGCCUGCUUCCGAUACGGGCAGACUAGAGGUAUGCAGGGGAGAACGGAAUUCCUGGUGUAGCGGUGGAAUGCGCAGAUAUCAGGAGGAACAUCGGUGGCGAAGGCGGGUCUCUGGGCCGAUACUGACGCUGAGGAGCGAAGGCGUGGGGAGCGAACAGG
rnacentral:rRNA from 1 species